UACAUAGUCCCUCCGUCCAGAAUUACUUGUCGCAGAGAUGAAUAAAAAUGGAUGUAUCUAGAACUAAAAUAUGUCCAGAUACAUUCAUAUCUCCGACAAGUAAUUCCGGACGGAGUGAUUAUUUA
rfam:Triticum aestivum genome assembly, contig: Triticum_aestivum_CS42_TGACv1_scaffold_641488_T_1DL-0.200696_2DL-0.128977